UUACUGGGGGAAUCGUCUGAACAAGGCCUGCGCUUAAUUGCGCGGCCAGUUCUUGAUUCUCUGCUAUCAGUUUUCUAUUUCUCAUCCUAAACACAAUGGAGUUUUUUCUCUAUGAACUACUUCCCUGGAGAGCUCGUCUCUCCAGUGGACAUAAACACAAACAAUAUUUUGUAUUAUGAAAAACUAUUAUACUAUAAAAUUUAAUAUUCAAAACUUUCAACAACGGAUCUCUUGGUUCUCGCAUCGAUGAAGAACGCAGCGAAUUGCGAUAUGUAUUGUGAAUUGCAGAUUUUCGUGAAUCAUCAAAUCUUUGAACGCACAUUGCGCCCUCUGGUAUUCCAGGGGGCAUGCCUGUUUGAGCGUCAUUUCUCUCUCAAACCUUUGGGUUUGGUAGUGAGUGAUACUCGUCUCGGGUUAACUUGAAAGUGGCUAGCCGUUGCCAUCUGCGUGAGCAGGGCUGCGUGUCAAGUCUAUGGACUCGACUCUUGCACAUCUACGUCUUAGGUUUGCGCCAAUUCGUGGUAAGCUUGGGUCAUAGAGACUCAUAGGUGUUAUAAAGACUCGCUGGUGUUUGUCUCCUUGAGGCAUACGGCUUUAACCAAAACUCUCAAAGUUUGACCUCAAAUCAGGUAGGAG
rnacentral:rRNA from 1 species